AUUGAACGCUGGCGGCAGGCUUAACACAUGCAAGUCGAGCGAGCGGCGGACGGGUGAGUAAUGUCUGGGAAACUGCCUGAUGGAGGGGGAUAACUACUGGAAACGGUAGCUAAUACCGCAUACCAUCAGAUGUGCCCAGAUGGGAUUAGCUAGUAGGUGGGGUAAUGGCUCACCUAGGCGACGAUCCCUAGCUGGUCUGAGAGGAUGACAAGCCAGACGGGAACUGAGACACGUUCCAGACUCCUACGUGAGGAAGCAGUGGGGAAUAUUGCACAAUGGGCGCAAGCCGGAUGCAGCCAUGACGCGGGUGUGAAGAAGGCCUUCGGGUUGGAAAGAACUUUCAGCGAGGAGGCGUUACGCGCAGAAGAAGCACCGGCUAACGCCGUGCCAGCAGCAGCGGUAAUUC
rnacentral:rRNA from 1 species